AGGACCCAGAGGGAGCGGAGCACGCGCCUUUGGGAAUCUUCGGUGCGCCAAGUCUGUUCGCCGCCGGGGUCUAUCACCCCCGCCCCUCGCCUCUGCCCGUGAGCGUCAGCUGGCUUGGCUUUUUCAGAGGAAACAGAGACUCUCAGACAUGAAUACUGUGACACUGACCACCAGGCCAACUUAACAUCAGCAGAUAUCCUGUCUCAGAUGAAGAGGUAUGUUUGAUUUAUUUCUUUUUUUUUUUUCUAUCUACAGAUGAUCCAAUAUAUGUCCUAGAUCCCAUUCAUUCUGUCUCCUCUGGGGCCUUAUUUCAUCAUUUAACCCUCCCUUUUUAUCUUCAGUAUACCCUUUCCCCACCUCCCUCCCCUGGCUUUAUCUGCCCUAUCCAA
rnacentral:lncRNA from 1 species